AUCGCUUCUCGGCCUUUUGGCUAAGAUCAAGUGUAGUAUCUGUUCUUAUCGUAGGGGGGGUUGACAACCCAGCUAAGGGAUGUCAAGUCUGGGCCCUCCCUACCGCCUAGACAGAGAGGCACUUGAUCCUCUGGCCGGAGGCCGGAAAUGCAUAUUGAGCCUGAGUUGAAGUGCCCCAGGCGUUGCGAACCUGAGGUACCCUAA
rnacentral:snRNA from 1 species